GUGCUUGCUUUAGCAGCACAUAUGCUAAAAUUAGAAAGAUACAGAGAGGAUUAGCAUGGCCCCUGUGCAAGGAUCACAAGCAGAUUCAUGAAAUGUUCCAUAUAUAU
ensembl:snRNA U6 U6 spliceosomal RNA